CGAUGAAGAAGAAACUCAAAAAAAUACAGGAAGAACAUCUAUGAGAUCAGCACGUCUCUAUGGU
rnacentral:tRNA from 1 species